GUGUUACGGUCAACCCUAAGAUUUUGUAAAAAAUGUAGACUUGGACCAGUAGGCUACCAUUAACUUUUGACAACAUGUUAGGUGAAUUUAAACAGGGUGUGUCUGGAUAUUUGUAUGUGAAAUGUCGAAACACAGAAAUUAUGCGGUCAUGUGAAUUGUGUUCCCUAUGGAAAAACACAGACUCUAGUAGUAGUAGAUUGAAGACCUGGGAAAGUUGGAAUGCCAUGUUUCGUUGUCAACACAAAAUUAGGACCAGCAAUGAUUGAUAGUGUAGGUGGGCCGGUGAGGGGAGGGUCAACAAUUUGUUGUCAACACUCAAUAUACCAACAAUUGGAAAUAAAAACAUGAAAAGAAAUGGAGAGACUUGUUGGAAAUAUCAUUGAGACAGUGGCUUCUAUCUGUCUAUGUCGACAGAAUCUGCUGCGAAAGAUCAAGGAAAUGGAGGAUGUGCAUCAUGAAGAAUCAAUGGUAUCAGAACACAACAUCAUGGAAGAUCUUAUUGACAAGAUCUUGGAGGAUGUCCUUUGCCAGAUGCCUCGCCAGCACUAAAGUCUAUUCUUCAGUCAGAUGCUACAGUUACAAAUGACAGUGAAUGGUCAGAUUUAUACAAUUGUGAUGAACAAUCCUCAACAAUACAUCAAACAAAAAUUGCUAUUAAACUUUCUCACAGACAGUCAAAGGUUGAAAACAAAUCAGAAGUGGUCCACAUCUUGAAAAACCUCACAGCAGAUUAAGACUUUCCCCGAAAUUUCCCUGUAAAACCAGCAGUGGUAUGUCCAAUUCAGUAGAUACUGCCUGGCACAAAAGAGGAUUUGACAGUUUAACAUUGUACUGCAUCAAUAAACUAAAUAUGGAGAGUAGCUUAGUCACCAAAGCAGUCAACACCAAAAUACACACAAUGGCCAGGGCACUGAAACUUGGAAGAGUGAAAGAGUAAAGUUGUGCGUUUUUAGCUUACAAAGUGACAUUGCGAGCUUUUGUCUAUCAUUCCUCCGUAAACUUGAUCUUUAAACAACAUCUCAUAAAUUGCCAAGCCAAUUUCAUGCAAACUUACAAUAUUGUCUAGUCAGUUUUUGUUUUGCUUGCAAUUGUUAUAUGACAUGACUAAAGACAUUUAGUUUUAUUCUUCAGUUAUUAUGUUUAUGUUUGUAUAAGACCCAAAUAUAUUGUUAAGAUUCAUUUUUACACAUUUGAAAGCCAUUAUUGUUCUAGUCAGUUUUUGUUUUGCUUGCAAUCGUUAUAUGACAUGACUAAAGACAUUUAGUUUUAAUCUUUAAUAAUUAUGUCUAUAUUUGUAUAAGACCCAAAAAUAUUGUUAAGAUUCAUUUUUACAAUUUUGAAAGCCAUUAUUGCUCUAGUCUGUUUUUGUUUUGCUUGCAAUCGUUAUAUGACAUGACUAAAAACAUUUAGUUUAAAUCUUUAGUUAUUAUGUCUAUGAGGGGCGUCCGUGGCCGAGUGAUUAAGGUCAUUGACUUCAAACCACUUGCCCCUCACCACUGUGGGUUGGAAUCCCGACAGGGACUUUGGAUUUUUUCAUGUGAGGAAGCUAUCCAGCUAGCUUAACUGAACGUCGGUAGUUCUACUCAGAUACCCGUUCGUGCCUGAAAUAAUGCAAGGAAGGGCACCUGAACGUCACGAUAUGACCUAUACUGUGUCGAUGUGACGUAAAAACCCAAAACAAACAAACAAAAAAAAAAUAUGUCUAUGAAAUUAGUUGUUUGUAUAAGACCCAAAUAUAUUGUUGUGAUUAAUUUUAACAAUUUUGAAAGCCAUAAUUGUUCGUGUCAGAUAUUGUUUUGCUCACAAUCAUAAUGUUAUAUGGCAUGAGUUUAAAUCUGAAGGUAUUAUGUCCAUGAAAUAUGUUGUUUGUAUAAGACCAAAAUAUAUUUUUGAGAUUCAUUUUUACAAUUUUGAAAGCCAUUAUUGGUCUAGUUUGUUUUUGCAUAACACAUAACGCUAUUGUUAGUAUUUAUUGUUAUAAAUAGUGAUUUGUCUAAGUGGAUGUCGAAGUAUGUAUGUUAUUCCAUGCCAGUUCAUGUUUGAAUGAAACUUUUUGUCCAGAUAGAAGAUUUCAAACUGUAACUUUUCUGAUUUUUAGCUUUUACAACAAUAUUAUAUUUCCCAUUUUUGGUGCUAAGAAAUACUGCAACAUGUGCUGAAUAAUAGCUAUUGUCAAACAUUGUUUUUAUGCUCCCCGAUAAAUUUCGGGGGAGCAUAUAGUCAUCGGGUUGUCUGUCCGUCUGUCUGUACGUACAUACGAACCCGAAUUCGUGUCCAGCCCAUAACUUUGUUAUUUCAAGUUGGAUUUUAAAACUAUUUCACAGAAAUGAUCACCAUAUUGAGACGACGUGUCGCCCGCAACAUUUAGGUCGCUACCUUGAAGUUCAAGGUCACACCGUGACCUUGAACAAAAAUUGUGUCCGGCCAAUAUCUUGGUUAUUUGAUGUCGGAUUUUACAACUAUUUCACAGAAAUGAUCACCAUAUUGAGACGAUGUGUUGCACACACCAUUUUGGUCAAUACCUUGAAGGUCAAGGUCGCAACAUGACAUUGAAGCAAAAUCGUGUCCGGCCCAUAAAUUCGUUAUUUGAAGUCGGAUUUUACAACUAUUUCACCGAAAUGAUCACCAUAUUGAGAUGAUAUGUCACACACAACAUUUGGGUCAUUACCUUGAAGGUCAAGGUCACAGCAUGAUCUUGAAACAAAAAUGUGUCUGGCCCAUAGCGUCGUUAUUUGAAGUGUGAUUUUACAACUAUUUUGGAAUUAUCAGACUUUGAACUUUGUCUGGGACAUAACCCUGAAACUUCAAAAGAUAUACUUUUCUGUGUCCAAAUCCUAGUCGGGGGAGGAUCACCCUGGUUCAAUAGGCUCUUGUUUUAAUUGAUUAUUAAGUAAUAUGAACAAUUCAUGAUAGCAUCAUAACUAAAGAGUGGAAAUUUAUGAAAGUCAAAUAUGUAUAGAAUCAGUUGCUAAUAAAAUGUGUGUAAAAUUUAUCUCUUUUUUUAACUGGGGAAUUAAUUUCUUUAUUUUACAAAUUUAUCAAAUUUCAUUUUAUUCUACUGAUAUGUUUGUAAUAUUUCUUUUAUUUUCUAUUGAAAAAAUGUGUUAAACCAA